rnacentral:rRNA from 1 species
GAUGAACGCUAGCUACAGGCUUAACACAUGCAAGUCGAGGGGCAGCAUGAUCUUAGCUUGCUAAGUUUGAUGGCGACCGGCGCACGGGUGAGUAACACGUAUCCAACCUGCCGUUGACUCGGGGUUAGCCUUUCGAAAUAAAGAUUAAUACCCGUUGGCAUAGUUCUUCCGCAUGGUAGAACUAUUAAAGAAUUUCGGUCAUCGAUGGGGAUGCGUUCGAUUAGGUUGUUGGCGGAGUAACGGCCCACCAAGCCUUCGAUGGAUAGGGGUUCGGAGAGGAAGGUCCCCCAGAAUGGAACUACGACACGGACCAAACUGGUACGGGAGGCAGCGGAGAGGAGGAUUGGUGAAUGGACGAGAGUCUGAACCAACCAAGUAGCGUGAAGGAUGACUGGCCUAUGGGUUGUAAACUUCUGUUAUACGAGAAUAAAGUGAGGCACGUGUGCCUUUUUGAAGGUACCGUAUGAAUAAGGAUCGGCUAACUCCGUG